rnacentral:tRNA from 1 species
AUUUAAAUAAUUUAAUAAAAAAUAUUGAUUUGUGGAGUCAAAGAUAUGAGUAAUCAUUUUAAGUU